rnacentral:rRNA from 1 species
UACGGAGGGUGCAAGCGUUAUCCGGAUUCACUGGGUUUAAAGGGUGCGUAUGUGGAUUUUUAAAUCAGUGGUGAAAGCCCCGAGCUCAACUUGGGAACUGCCAUUGAUACUAUUAAUCUUGAAUACCGUAGAGGUGGGCGGAAUACAUCAUGUAGCGGUGAAAUGCUUAGAUAUGAUGUAGAACACCGAUCGCGAAGGCAGCUCACUGUGCAGUUAUUGACACUGAGGCACGAAAGCGUGGGGAUCAAACAGG